AUUGAACGCUGGCGGCAGGCUUAACACAUGCAAGUCGAGCGGGGAAAUAUAGCUUGCUAUAUGACCUAGCGGCGGACGGGUGAGUAAUGCUUAGGAAUCUGCCUAUUAGUGGGGGACAACAUUUCGAAAGGGAUGCUAAUACCGCAUACGCCCUACGGGGGAAAGCAGGGGAUCUUCGGACCUUGCGCUAAUAGAUGAGCCUAAGUCGGAUUAGCUAGUUGGUGGGGUAUAGGCCUACCAAGGCGACGAUCUGUAGCGGGUCUGAGAGGAAGGUCCGCGACACUGGGACCGGGACACGGCCCAGACGCGUCCGGGAGGCAGCAGGGGGGAAUAUUGGACAAUGGGGUGAACCCUGAUCCAGCCAUGCCGCGUGUGUGAAGAAGGCCUUUUGGUUGUAAAGCACUUUAAGCGAGGAGGAGGCUCCUGUAGAUAAUACCUACAGUGAGUGGACGUUACUCGCAGAAUAAGCACCGGCUAACUCUGUGCCAGCCGCCGCCGUAA
rnacentral:rRNA from 1 species